GAUUAACGCUGGCGGCGUGCAUAACACAUGCAAGUCGAACGAUGAAACUUAAAUGAUUUCUUCGGAAUGAACUUAAGUGGAUUAGUGGCGGACGGGUGAGUAACGCGUGAGUAACCUGCCUUACACAAGGGGAUAGCCGUUGGAAACGACGAAUAAUACCCUAUGAUGUUUCUAUCUCGCAUGAGAUAUUAACCAAAGUGUUAGCGGUGUAAGAUGGACUUGCGUCUGAUUAGCUAGUUGGUGAGAAAAAGCCCACCAAGGCAACGAUCAGUAGCCGGCUUGAGAGAGUGUACGGCCACAUUGGGACUGAGACACGGCCCAGACUCCUACGGGAGGCAGCAGUGGGGAAUUUUGCACAAUGGGGGAAACCCUGAUGCAGCGACGCCGCGUGAUUUAGAAGGCCUUCGGGUUGUAAAAAUCUUUUGUAUAGGAAGAAAAUGACAGUACUAUACGAAUAAGGUCCGGCUAAUUACGU
rnacentral:rRNA from 1 species